rnacentral:rRNA from 1 species
UACGGAGGGUGCAAGCGUUGUUCGGAAUCACUGGGCGUAAAGGGCGUGUAGGCGGUCCGCUAAGUCUGAUGUGAAAGCCCGGGGCUCACCCCCGGAAGGGCAUUGGAAACUGGUGGACUCGAGUCCCGGAGAGGAAGGUGGAAUUCCUGGUGUAGCGGUGAAAUGCGUAGAUAUCAGGAGGAAUACCGGUGGCGAAGGCGGCCUUCUGGACGGUGACUGACGCUGAGACGCGAAAGCGUGGGGAGCAAACAGG